rnacentral:rRNA from 1 species
CCUACGGGCGAGCAGCAGUCGAGAAUCAUUCACAAUGGGGGAAACCCUGAUGGUGCGACGCCGCGUGGGGGAAUGAAGGUCUUCGGAUUGUAAACCCCUGUCAUGUGGGAGCAAAUUAAAAAGAUAGUAACACAAGAGGAAGAGACGGCGAACUCUGUGCCAGCAGCCGCGGUAAUACAGAGGUCUCAAGCGUGGUUCGGAAUCACUGGGAGUAAAGCGUGCGUAGGCUGUUGCGUAAGUUGUGUGUGAAAGGGGCGGGCUCAACCCGCGGGCGGCACAGGAUACUGCGAGACUAGAGUAAGGGAGGGGGAACGGGAAUUCUCGGUGUAGCAGUGAAAUGCGUAGAUAGUGAGAGGAACACUCGUGGCGAAGGCGGGUUCCUGGACAUUAACUGACGCUGAGGCACGAAGGCCAGGGGAGCGAAAGGGAUUAGAUACCCUUGUAGUC